GGAUGUGAGGGCGAUGGCUGUGAUAUCUGUCACCCCAUUGAUUACCAGAGUACAUUUGGCUGAUCAGGCUGGCUACGCGAGUGUCCCCUUCCUCCCUAGACGCUCCAUGUGCAUCCCUCCUGAAGCUGCGUGCUCAGUCGAAGAGGACGACCACCGAGACAGAGGAGCAUUCCUAGGUUAAGGGUGUACGAGUAGCUGCACUCCCCUGCUAGAACCUCCAAGCAAGCUCUGGAGAAUGUACUUCCAAGAGGAAAGAUCUGCAUUAGGCAAAGGACCGGUGACAUUCCCAGGCUCU
rnacentral:snRNA from 1 species